ensembl:lncRNA LINC00454 long intergenic non-protein coding RNA 454
GAGGGACGUUGGGGGUGCUGAGGGGACGCCCGCAGGGGCCGCUGAGGGACGUGGGAGUGUUGAGACACAGACACAGGAAGCAUCAACUCUGAGGCUUUGGCCAGGAUGUGAGCCCGACUUUCGCAGCCCCAACUGGCAGGCUGACCUCAUGUGAACUCCCUGGCGAUGGCAUCCUGGAGACACCCACAUGGCUGAGCUGGCACCAUAGGUGAGGCCACUUCCUGCGAAGGUAGCUGGAUGCUCCUGCCUGGAGCUGCCCCCGGACCACAGAGCAUCCAGGAGAUGAAUGCACUUCCAGCCCCGCCACCCUGGGGAGAUAUACAGCUGAGGUGGCAGCUUUGGAGCAAGCAGGGCAGAGAUGCUUCCCCCUGAGGUCCCUCCCAGCUCUGCUACCUUGUCACUCAAGGUAUGGGUUGGUUGUGUUCCCCAAAAAUACAUGUUAAAAUCUGAGUCUUCAGCACCUCAGAAUAUGACAUCAUUUGGAAAUAAGGUCAUUGCAGAUCUAAUUACCAUAGUGACCCCUUAUCCUGGGGAAAAUGUUCCAAGGCCCUGGUGGAUGUCUGAAACCUCAGAUAGUACCUAACCCUAUAUACACUGUGUUUUUUCCCAUGUGUACAGAAAUACGAUAAAGUUUAAUUUAUAAAUGAGGCACAAUAAUAGAUUAAUAACAAUGAUAAAAUAGAACAGUUAUAACAAUAUACUGUAAUAAAAGUUAUGUGAAUG